rnacentral:rRNA from 1 species
GGUUUUCGGACCUAGAGACCGGCGCACGGGUGCGUAACGCGUAUGCAAUCUACCUUUUACAGAGGGAUAGCCCAGAGAAAUUUGGAUUAAUACCUCAUAGUAUUAUUGAAUGGCAUCAUUUAAUAAUUAAAGUCACAACGGUAAAAGAUGAGCAUGCGUCCCAUUAGUUUGUUGGUAAGGUAACGGCUUACCAAGACUACGAUGGGUAGGGGUCCUGAGAGGGAGAUCCCCCACACUGGUACUGAGACACGGACCAGACUCCUACGGGAGGCAGCAGUGAGGAAUAUUGGUCAAUGGGCGCAAGCCUGAACCAGCCAUGCCGCGUGCAGGAUGAAGCAUCUAUGGUGUGUAAACUGCUUUUGUACGAGAAGAAACACUCCUACGUGUAGGAGCUUGACGGUAUCGUAAGAAUAAGGACCGGCUAACUCCGUGCCAGCAGCCGCGGUAAUACGGAGGGUCCAAGCGUUAUCCGGAAUCAUUGGGUUUAAAGGGUCCGUAGGCGGUUUUGUAAGUCAGUGGUGAAAGCCCAUCGCUCAACGGUGGAACGGCCAUUGAUACUGCAAGACUUGAAUUAUUAGGAAGUAACUAGAAUAUGUAGUGUAGCGGUGAAAUGCUUAGAGAUUACAUGGAAUACCAAUUGCGAAGGCAGGUUACUACUAAUGGAUUGACGCUGAUGGACGAAAGCGUGGGGAGCGAACAGGAUUAGAUACCCUGGUAGUCCACGCCGUAAACGAUGGAUACUAGCUGUUCGGAGCAAUCUGAGUGGCUAAGCGAAAGUGAUAAGUAUCCCACCUGGGGAGUACGUUCGCAAGAAUGAAACUCAAAGGAUUGAC